GACGCCGGCGGGCGGGACGUGCCGGAACCCCGGGGGCCGGGUUUUGGCGUCCGCGCCGAAAAGGAGUGAGGGUUUCCGUUUGUUCCCAGAGCGUCCGUAACUCUGAUUUCCAAUUGGAUUUAGAAGACGCGCAACCCGAGUGCAGGCCUGUCUCCAGCCGUCUGGAGCCUGGACCCUCCGCUGCUUGCUUUCGGUCUGACCCCGAGAACCGAGGCUUCCUGCGGUAGAAGUCUGCGUGCGAGAACAAAAUCGGGGUUCUUUCCGAGGGCGUGGCGGCUGUCGGUUGGCGGGCUCCCCUCAAGGGUGUCCCGGAUCUCGGCCCCCGUACCAAGGGCCAUGCGACCGUGAUUUGUCCGGCUGGGAGAGUUUGCGCGUUUGUUGGAGAGUGGCGUGCCCCAGCUGGCUCCGGAGUCCGCAGAACACCCCCUCUGCCCGAUUUCCAUCUGCCUACCGCUUGGCGAGUUUAUUUACUUUCUUUUUAUUAGUUGACGUGUAUGAGGUAUGUGUAAAUGAGUAGUAAAUGCAGCCAAUUGGGAUUAAACAUGGAGAAGUAAAUUGCUGUUAAUUUUGGGAAAACGAGGCCCUGAAUGGGUUACAGGUUACAGUUUUGUAGCUAAACAAGGCCAAGUUAAUUCGAGCUUGGCCUCACAUGGGGCAGAUCCUUUAUCCUAACACGGG
rnacentral:lncRNA from 1 species